rnacentral:Y_RNA from 1 species
GGCUGGUCCAAAGGUAGUUGAGUUAUUUCAAUUGAUUGUUCACAGUUGCAGAAUGAACUUCUUGUUCCAUUCUUACCCCCUUCUCACUAUUGCACUGGACUAGCCUUAA